rnacentral:rRNA from 1 species
UGCUCUUCCGCGGAAGGCUCGCAUCUUCCGGAGCUUUCAUUCCUCCUACCGAUACGAAUCGUCGGCUCAGCGCCAACCGAUCCAGACGCGAAUUGGUGAUAAGCCGAGGAAAAGAAAAAUCCUUUCUCCUUCCUCCCUCCCGCAGCUGCGAAUCUCCUCCGCGGCGGCCUCCUUCCUCGGAUCAAUCGCAUCUACUGCGAACGACCAGCCAUGGCCGGGAAGCUAAUUGCAAACCUUAUUGUCAUGGGCUCUGGGAUUAUAGGAAGAGCUAUGCUUCAGGCAUACCGAAAAGCACUUGAAAAUGCAAAUAAAACUGGUGUGGCCCAUGAAGCAGUCAACAAUAUCCGUAGGGCCAGCAAGACAAUGACCGAGCAAGAAGCGAGGCAGAUAUUGGGUGUGACUGAGCAGUCGACAUGGGAAGAGAUUGCACAGGUCUUCUCUUAUCUUCACUUGGCUCCUCGCUAUUCGCAUGUGCAGUGCUGACUACAACCCCUUAUCAACCAUGUUGAAUGCAGCGGUAUGACAAGCUAUUCGAGAGAAAUGCAACAUCUGGGAGCUUUUACCUCCAAUCCAAGGUUCACCGGGCCAAGGAGUGCCUAGAAAACGUGUACCAAAAGAACAAGCAAGAUGGAACUCCGACCUGAAAUUCGCAUCUUUAGAAUCCACUGCCUAGAUACUGUUACUAUACUCCCUUUGUAUCAAAAAAACGUCUUAUAUUUUGAUACAGAGGGAGUAUAUUCUUUCCUCCCUUUUGAGAAUGUACAUACCAACAAUGGUUGCUGCUGUUGUAUCAUCAAUAAAAAUUGAGCGCAGCGACGGUGAGCUCUUUAGAGAACUAAUUGUAAGCCAUCACUGAAUUCUCGUAUGGCAUUCAGUAUGAAAUUUUGUUGUUUUCGUUUGAUUAUUCCAUGAGCCGUAGCAGCCGUGCUCUUGCACUAUUGGUCCAUUCAGUGACAUCUUCAUUCAUGUGAAAAUGGAACCAUUUCUUCUCAUCGUUGGGAUAUUUUUCCGUCAG